rnacentral:rRNA from 1 species
CCCUUAGAGUUUGAUCCUGGCUCAGAAUCAACGCUGGCGGCGUGCCUAACACAUGCAAGUCGAACGCGAAAGCCCCGCAAGGGGUAAGUAGAGUGGCAAACGGGUGAGUAACACGUGGGUGACCUGCCUUCGAGUGGGGGAUAACGUCCCGAAAGGGACGCUAAUACCGCAUGACAUCCUGCUUUUGGAAAAGCGGAGAUCAAAGCUGGGGAUCGUAAGACCUGGCGCUUGAAGAGGGGCCCGCGCCUGAUUAGCUAGUUGGUAGGGUAACGGCCUACCAAGGCAACGAUCAGUAUCCGGCCUGAGAGGGCGGACGGACACACUGGGACUGAGACACGGCCCAGACUCCUACGGGAGGCAGCAGUGGGGAAUUGUUCGCAAUGGGCGCAAGCCUGACGACGCAACGCCGCGUGGAGGACGAAGAUCUUCGGGUCGUAAACUCCUGUCGAGUGGGAAGAAUGCUUCGGGGGUGAAUAACCUCCGGAAUUGACGGUACCACUAAAGGAAGCCCCGGCUAACUCCGUGCCAGCAGCCGCGGUAAUACGGGGGGGGCAAGCGUUGUUCGGAAUUACUGGGCGUAAAGGGCUCGUAGGCGGCCAACUAAGUCGGAUGUGAAAUCCCCAGGCUUAACCUGGGAACUGCAUCCGAUACUGGAUGGCUUGAAUUCGGGAGAGGGAUGCAGAAUU